GAUGAACGCUGGCGGCGUGCUUAACACAUGCAAGUCGAACGGAAAGGCCCUGCUCUUGUGGGGUGCUCGAGUGGCGAACGGGUGAGUAACACGUGAGUAACCUGUCCUUGACUUUGGGAUAACUUCAGGGAACUGGGGCUAAUAUCGGAUAUGAGCUCCUGCAGCAUGGGGGGGGUUGGAAAGUUUCGGCGGUUGGGGAUGGACUCGCGGCUUAUCAGCUUGUUGGUGGGGUAGUGGCUUACCAAGGCUUUGACGGGUAGCCUGCCUGAGAGGGUGACCGGCCACAUUGGGACUGAGAGACGGCGCAGACUCCUACGGGAGGCAGCAGUGGGGAAUAUUGCGCAGUGGGCGGAAGCCUGAUGCAGAGACGCCGCGUGCGGAAUGACCGCCUUCGGGUUGUAAACCGCUUUCGCCUGUGACGAGGCGUGAGUGACGGUACUGGGUAAAGAAGCACCGGCUAACUACGUG
rnacentral:rRNA from 1 species